UCUGACGUUAACUAACAUGCUAGGUGGCGUCUGCGUAUACUGAGGAUUUUUACAUUUCGGUAUGGUGAGUGAGCGCUUUCUGCUUGUUGUGAAUGAAUACAUAUCACAGGAGAGAUUAAAGGAGUUUUGGAAAACGUUGAGGAGGGCAGCAGGAUAGAGAGGCCGUGUGGACUUUAGCAUUGAGAGUGAAGGAGCAGAGAAGUUGAACCUGGAGCACGACCUCACGUUCAGACAGAAAGGAGCGAUGACCCAACUAUCAAUCAAGAGGAAGACGAAAGCAACAGCUUCUUCCAUUGCAUUCUCAAGGGCCGGCUGUCCCUCAGGCCUGGGAACAGCAGGCGGUUCAGCUCCGCGGGAGCAAAAAUCAGACGAAGAAGAAGAGCUGCUCAACCCAGAACCGGCUGUAAGGAGCAGCUCACUGGGCAGAAUGACUCACAGACAGGGCAUUCAUACACACAUGAUGAUGGCUGCAGCCUGUCUCUCCCACAACCACACCAGGCUGCUGGGCUCAAACGGAUUGACUCCUCGGAUGCUAAAGCGCUGUAGCCUAAUGUUGUGGAAACCGAUGGAGCUCAGUCAUCAGGGUUGAAUGAAACGGUAGACAGAGAUGUGGGAAACAUGUGAGCGAUCUCAUGAAAACAUCAGAGGGAUCAAAUAUAUCAGGUCUGCUGCUUUUAAGUUGGGCCGCCCGGACAGAAGAAAAUGAAUAAAACAUUGGGUCCGAAGUAACAUGGCUGCCAACCAAAUGGGAGGUUUGGAAUUUCUAAGCAAAACAUUUAUUCAUGACCAGCACGGGGAAUGCAAAAUAUUGUUUGGAGGAGAGCGGCUCUGACAGGAAUAGUGAAAUACAAUUGAUGGAUCGCAGCUUUAUUGAUUGGUUAAACACAGAGAUGUAUCUGCCAUUGAAUGAAAUGCAUAUAAAUCAUGAUCAUCAUUUCUUUUCUGUAGGCUAAGAGCCUAUAUGGUAAAAAUGCCAACCCGAAAGGACGUCUUCCCGGCUAAAGAAUGCAUUUGGCCUUCUUCCCCUUUUAUAAUAACUCACAAAAGAUGGUCAAGUCUUUCUAAAUGGGUUAAUGAAAUCUUAGAUUUUACCCCGCUGAGGAAGAGGCUAUCGAUCCCGCUGUGGGGAGGAAAUCCUAUAUCACCAUGCCAGUUCAGAUUAAUCAUUGGACGAGCUGUAUGGCAUUGCUUUGCAUAAUGGAAGCGAUCACACCCUUUCUGAGAGAAGUUUGGAAUAACGAUCAGAGAACCAUCACUCUAAGUCAGAAAACGUGCAGCAGAAAGGGAUGAAAAUAUGUU